AACGAACGCUGGCGGCAGGCUUAACACAUGCAAGUCGAGCGCCCCGCAAGGGGAGCGGCAGACGGGUGAGUAACGCGUGGGAACGUACCCUUUGCUACGGAAUAGCUCCGGGAAACUGGAAUUAAUACCGUAUGUGCCCUACGGGGGAAAGAUUUAUCGGCAAAGGAUCGGCCCGCGUUGGAUUAGCUAGUUGGUGGGGUAAUGGCCUACCAAGGCGACGAUCCAUAGCUGGUCUGAGAGGAUGACCAGCCACAUUGGGACUGAGACACGGCCCAAACUCCUACGGGAGGCAGCAGUGGGGAAUAUUGGACAAUGGGCGCAAGCCUGAUCCAGCCAUGCCGCGCGAGUGAUGAAGGCCUUAGGGUUGUAAAGCUCUUUCACCGGAGAAGAUAAUGACGGUAUCCGGAGGAGAAGCCCCGGCUAACUUCGUGCCAGCCGCCGCGGUAAAAC
rnacentral:rRNA from 1 species